UACGUAGGGUGCAGGCGUUAAUCGGAAUUACUGGGCGUAAAGCGUGCGCAGGCGGUCUGCUAAGAGAGAUGUGAAAUCCCCGGGCUUAACCUGGGAACUGCGUUUCUAACUGGCAGGCUUGAGUGUGGCAGAGGGGGGUGGAAUUCCACGUGUAGCAGUGAAAUGCGUAGAUAUCAGGAGGAACACCUGUGGUGUAGACAGCUUACUGGACCAUUUCUGACGCUGAGACACGAAAGCGUGGGUAGCAAACAGG
rnacentral:rRNA from 1 species